UCGGAUCAGCCGCUUUUCCUCAUCUGAUUUUGCUUCUUCUUCACUCUGAAUACACACACACACACAGAGAAACCAACGAGGACCCCGCCCUUCAUCUUCAACCUUCAGCCGUUUCUGAGGAUCAAAAAACCAAAAAAUACCUAAGGACCUAAUCUUCUCCAAAAAAGAAACAGACACGAAAAAUCCUAAAACCUAAGAGAAUGGCAAAAAGGGAAUCGAAAAAUUCUGAAGCUAAGGCAGGACCCCUAAGAAGAUCUCUCUACCACCGUCUACCCAAAAACCCCAUCUCCCUCCCUUGAGAAAAAAAGAAUUCACAACCCACACAUAUAUAGAGGGAGGGAAUGAUAGACAGAGUUCAAGCGGGUGGGAAACGAGAGUGAAAGAGGUAGGACGAUUUUCAGUCCAAGGAACAAAAAGAAAAAUGGAGAGCUAGAAAAAAAUAGAUAGACAGAGUUCAAGCGGGGAGGGGGGGGGGGGACGAACAUAAAGGGAACGGGAAUAAAACACAGAGGAAAAGUAGAGCACAUAGUAGAUAAAACAGACGAAAAUCUGGGCAGAAAAAUCAUGGGCAGAAGUUAAAAAUGGAGAUGAGCCGAAGUUGAUUCUGGUUUGAGUCAGUGAGGCUGACGCUCGGGUUUCGAUCUCACGAUCAAGGUCAUGUUCUCUGUUUCAUUGUUUAAUCCAUUCAGUCAAAGAUUUUUGAGGUCCAUAUCUUGUCCUCUUUCUUAUUAAUGAGUUUUUACGCCUCUCUUAGUGGAAUAAAAUAAUGCUCCUCAUAUUGAUAUCUUCUAGUAUGCUUACUUCAAUGUUUGUUUACGAUAAUUUGUUUUGAUAGUAGUAUUUUUAUAAUUUUGUCUAGCCUUGAUUGAUUUAGGUUUGGUUUAAUGAAAAGCAGAAUUCAUAGGAAAGAUUGAAUAAUGAAAUUGUACUAGUAGUAACUUUAAACGUAAUUUUGGACUUUAAGUGUUGGGUUCUAUUCGAUGUGGCUUUAAAAGAAUUUUCAUUGAAAUACUUUAUGUAUUGGCUCAAAUCUAUACCGUGUACAUUCAAUUUCUCGUCAAGAAUUAAUGACCGUACCAGGAAGGCGAAAGGUGGGGACUCAAAAGUAUAAAUUUUGACAAUCAAGCACAAGUUUGUCAUAAAAUAAACAGAUGGAUGAUGCUAGUAAAGUUUUCUGAAACAUAUCAAUAAGCUAGAUUCAUUCUGUGAUUCAUUUUAUAUAUUGGGCAUUGAUAUGACAAGCGUGGAUUAGACUAAAAUCACAAAAUAAAUCGUGAUUGCGUAUGCGUUCACGUGACAUAUAUGAUUUUCAAAAUAAAUCAAAGUAUGCGUUCGUGCAACUUUGACUAAACUUUCUUAAUAAUAAUAAAGUGUCACUAAUUGUAGACACGUUCGCGUGACAUGAUUUUUGACGCGCCAAACAAAUGGGUAUAUGUAUGCGUGACCUGUUUCAAAAUAAUUUCUUAAUUAAAAGAGACAAAUGUACAUAGGUUUUAAAAUGAGUAAUUAGACAAUUUGAUUAAGCCAAGUACGAUCAAAGCGACCGUGCUAAAACCACAGAACCCGGGAAUGUCUAACACCUUCUCCCGGGUUAACAGAAUUCUUUACAUGGAUUUCUGUAUUCGCAGAUCAUAAAUAAGAGUCAACUUCCUCGAUUCGAGAUUUUUAACUAGUGACUUAGGACACCAUAAAUUAUCCCAAGUGAUGACUCUAAUUUUAAAUGAAAUAAUCCCAUUUCAAUUGUCACUUAAAUUGGAAAAAACUCCCUUAUAUCCCUUUCGGGGUAGUAAAAAAGAGGUGUGACAGCUCUGGCGACGCUGCUGAGGAUAAGAAUCCAGAACUUCUGGUUCAGGGUUCAAGAAUUUGAGCUUGUUUUUAUGAUUUUUACUUGGCUUUAUUUAUUGUUCAUAUUAUUGUAUUUGUGGACCUAAUGUGCUAAAUGUUGUUUAUUUACCACUUUCAUAUUACUUGAACUGUAUUAAACUGUCUCCCUAUGCCUCCUUUCUGAGUUUUCUAAAAAUGGUGCACACGUUCGCGUGACCCACUUUUUAUGUUAGAAGUUAUACCAAAUAGAACAAGGCUGGGCCAGCAACAAGGCCGAGUAUACUUUUGUUCUCCCGGUACGUUGCCCCCUCUUCGGCUCGAGCUAUCCGCUAAGGUAAGCCAGGUCUAGAACACAACCCCAGGUUUAAAUCUAGAAUAACAUAGCCUCAUGUCGGAUCCCUAGUAGGAACGUUUAUUUUCAUCACGUGNNNNNNNNNNNNNNNNNNNNNNNNNUGAUAAAAAAGAGGGUGAAGUGUAAAAAUAAAUCAAGUAGGGGCUCAGUUAUAUUUUUUCACAUUUUUUUUAAAAAGAGAAAGACAAAAAAAAAAACAUGAAAAAUCCAAAAAGAUUUUGCACUUUCCCAUCAUUUAAAAAAAAAAUCAAAAAAGGGGAAAAGAAAAUCUAAAAAGAGUUUACAUGUUUCAUCAUUUUUUAAAAAGAUAAAAAAUAUAUUUUCUCUAAAUUAGUUGUUUUUUUAAAUUCUCGAUCGUAUCCAAUCUGCUCGAACUAUGAUACCCGAUUCUCGUCUUUUGGGGCAUGAUACGUAGGCAACCCACAUAUGGUCUGGUCUUCCUAGUAAGUCUUAGGUUCUUGGCUUUGUGGGGUCUUAGCCAAAUCUUACAUUUUUAGCCACUUUUAGCUACAUAGGUUAAUUUUGGAAAAAUAGUCACAAUCAUGUCUUGCAUGUGUCUAACAUGAAGGGUUAUUGUCUCACAUAGCGUCCUAGGUCUUUAAUUUUAUUUUGUCUUAAUUUUCUCAUACAGGUGUGGAUAUACUUACCGGAGUUUGGGCAUGACAUGCGCCUUAGGACCAUCCAGUCAAGAUCGCUCAUUCAAGAGUUUGCUUAAGGAUUUUUUUAAUGUUAAGUUUUGAGUCUAUUUUCUUUUUAUGUCGUCUUUUACCUUCUAGUUUUGUUUAAUAAUGUCAAGUCUUUUAGGUGAUAUUAGAGUCUGUCAUAGGCUAGUUAAGUUUGUUGAGUCUUUUAUUAUUGUAUUUCCUAUUUUGUAUUUGAAAAAGAUGUGUUAUAAAU
rnacentral:lncRNA from 1 species